rnacentral:miRNA from 1 species
UCGUUUCAGACGCUCCUUUUCC